rnacentral:rRNA from 1 species
AUAUCAAUAAGCGGAGGAAAAGAAACUAACAAGGAUUCCCCUAGUAACGGCGAGUGAAGAGGGAAAAGCUCAAAUUUAAAAGCUGUUGUCUUUCAGGCAACCGCAUUGUAAUCUCAAGAAGUGUUUUCGAUUGUAGCCUGCGUAUAAGUACCUUGGAAUAGGUUGGCAUAGAGGGUGAAACUCCCGUCUUUGAUGCAGAUUACUAUGAUCAUGUGAUACACUUUCUAAGAGUCGAGUUGUUUGGGAAUGCAGCUCAAAAUGGGUGGUAAAUUCCAUCUAAAGCUAAAUAUUGGCCUGAGACCGAUAGCGAACAAGUACCGUGAGGGAAAGAUGAAAAGCACUUUGGAAAGAGAGUCAAACAGAACGUGAAAUUGCUGAAAGGGAAGCGUUUGAAGUUAGUCUGAUAGGAGUUGUUCAAUUGUUACUUUGGUUUCAAUGUAUGCAACUUUUUAUCGGUCAACAUCAAUUUUGAUUGAUGGAUAAAGGUAAUAGGAAUGUGGCUACAAUUUGUAGUGUUAUAGCCUAUUAUCAUAAACAUUGAUUGAGAUUGAGGACGGCAGUGUACCUUUUAGGAAGGUGUUCGCACCUAUUACACUAAGGAUGUUGACAAAAUAGCUUUAAGCGAC